UACGUAGGGUGCGAGCGUUUAAUCGGAAUUACUGGGCGUAAAGCGUGCGCAGGCGGUUGUGUAAGUCUGACGUGAAAUCCCCGGGCUUAACCUGGGAAUGGCGUUGGAGACUGCAAGGCUGGAAUCUGGCAGAGGGGGGUAGAAUUCCACGUGUAGCAGUGAAAUGCGUAGAGAUGUGGAGGAACACCGAUGGCGAAGGCAGCCCCCUGGGCUAAGAUUGACGCUCAUGCACGAAAGCGUGGGGAGCAAACAGG
rnacentral:rRNA from 1 species